CCCCCCUCACCGGCCGCGUACUGCGCGCCGGACUCUCGUGCCCGGAUCGGAGCUACGGGUGAUGCGCCGGGAAUAGGGCGCCAUGGCCCGAGUCCUCCUGCGGGCGGCGUGCGCGGCUCUCACGCCCACCUCCCCCGGUUCGUCCUUGCUUGCUGCACGGGGCGAGCCUCCGCGCGGGGCCUCGCAGCUGGCCGCCGGCCCCGCGCCGCCCCGGCGUGCCCCCGCGGGACCCAGAUCCCGGGCGCUUUCGUCGCGAGCCGCCAGGAGGGCCCUGAGCACUCGGGGGAAACGAUCGUCACCGGACAGACCGCCUCUGGCAGGACUUGGAGCCUCGCUGUCACUCGGGAAGGGACGAGACAGUCACAGGCCGCGGGCGGCACACGCGGCUGCCCAGGUAGCGCAGAUCCAAGGAGACCGGUUGUAAACUGCAGGAUUGGACUUGAGCAGAGCCCACCCGCCUCCGCCUGCAGGCGGUGGCCCCCCGGCUGCAAAUGCGGAGGCUCGACGCGAUGGCUGGGCGCGCGGCCGCCUGCGAGGAUGGCCUGGAAUCCUGCAACUGCGUCUCGGGUCACCGCGGGGAGCUCCCGGACCCCGCGGCCGCCGCUUUCGGGGAGCAGGACCUGGAUGCUCCGCUCACGGGCGAGGAGGCUGUUUAGGCCUGUGGAGCGCCGGAGUCUGAACGGACACUGGGCCUCUGUCACUUUCGGUUGCCCUCCUCACCGGGAUGGAAGAGAAAGGGCCGGCGCGCGGGCCAACCGGGUGCGUGCCCUGAAAGCGAUGGAUCCGAGCAGUUCGGUUGCGGGAUUUACGGUGGAUUCCACCUCCCCGCCCCCAACACACACACUUUGCUCCAGGUGUGCAUUCAAAAAAAAAAAAAGAGGGAUCGGUUAA
rnacentral:lncRNA from 1 species